UCCGGGGUAGCUCAAUUGGCAGAGCAGCUCCCUGUUAAGGAGACGGCUGCGAGUUCGAGUCUCGCCCCCGGAG
rnacentral:tRNA from 1 species